CCAGGCUAUGGUAAGGCCACAGACAGGCACCAGUGUAUAGAACUAUGAUGAGCAAAAGCUCGCUUCCUUCCUGUUUCAGAGAAAUAAAAGUUCUCACUACUCACUUACUAUAUUUACAAAACCUCCUGGAUCACCAGUGACCUCUCUCCUGGUUGGUUUCACCAACAUUUUGUAUCAGCAGCUUGUGUCCACUGCAGGGAAGCUAGGGUGGAUGAGGGCUGCUCGAGUUUGCUAUUCCUCGACAUUAUAGACAUUAUAUGUUGCUCUUUUAGCCAUCCAGCUGAGGUGCUCUGCAAAAGUAAUCUCUAUCCCAUAUCCUUUACCUCAAACAUGGCUUUGUGAGGUCAGCAAUGUCACCAAGGAAUCCUACGUCAAUGCAGAGUGGACAUCAAAGAGCUUUCUUUAACAGAAGACUUGCAGCAGAGACUAGAGGCAUGUGUGGGGAAUGUUUUCAAGGGAGCGUAUCAUGAAAAGUGUCGGGUAGUGUGUUGCCAACACUCAGAACACAGCAAGGGCAUGCAGCGUGGAGCCUGAUGGGCCCUACAACUCCAUUUAGAGAUCACAGCUCUCAAGAGGACUACUCUGAAAGAAUACUAGAUAACCAAGUUCAUCAGUCACAUAGACAAUGGAAGUGAGGAAUGAUGCAGAAGCCCGGGAACAAAUAAUCUUCACAGGAGAUGAACUUGACACCUUUAGUAGCAAACAACAGACAACAAGACUGCAAACUCUUCUAAGCACAUGGAAUGCCUUAUCAGACAGCUUUCAUUUUCAUCAUUCACUUUGGAAUGUGUCUGCAGAGUCAGCCAUUGCAACACCCACAUGCAGAAGCCUGUAGAGACAGAGGUUGUAACUCAAGGAGGUUUUCAGAUUCCUUUUUUUUCCCCCUGAUUUACAUAAGUGUAGCACCAUAAACCAUUAUUCUGUCUCGAGCAUCUGUUUAAGUGAAACUGUGCUACCUGGAGAUUUGUGAUUCCAUGUGUUAAUUGUAGUUGUAAUGUUUGAUCCUAU
rnacentral:lncRNA from 1 species